AUCCUUGCAGAUGCGCGGUCCUCAGUCCACCGCAGGGUAUUAUGCAACGGGCUAUAACACUCCCGGAGGAGCCACGUUCCCGAAGCCUUUUUCCCCCGCGACGAACUGAUGCUGGCCUGAACGCGGCGAAGUGCACCGGAGAGAACCCCGGAUGAUCCGCCGCGCCCAAGUCUGGUCACAAGCGCUUCCCUUUCAACAAUUUCACGUACUGUUUAACCCUCUUUUCAAGGUGCUUUUCAUCUUUCGAUCACUCUACUUGUGCGCUAUCGGUCUCUGGCCAAUAUUUAGCUUUAGAAGACAUAUACCUCCCAUUUUGAGCAGCAUUCCCAAACUACUCGACUCGUCGAAGGAGCUUUACAGAGGCUCGGUGGCCAGCCAGACGGGGCUCUCACCCUCUGUGGCGUCCGGUUCCAGGAGAAACUCGGGGGGGCACCUCCCAAAAAGCCUCCCUCUAAAAAUAUCAACCCUCGAAACCCGAGGAGGGGCCAAAAUUUCAAAUUUUGGAGGUUGUUGCCCCCUCCCCCCGGCGUUUCGGGGGGCAAAUCCCCCUGGUGGGUUUC
rnacentral:misc_RNA from 1 species